CAGCAGCCGGUUAAGCCGACUGUGCUCUUUCCCCACGGGGACCCAGGGUGCCGCGGCUGCAAACAGCAGCCUCCUUGGUGGUGUAUGCAGCCUGUCGAUUGUAUAGGCUGCCCUAAGGGACCUUGGGGACAGCC
ensembl:snoRNA SNORA70 Small nucleolar RNA SNORA70